rnacentral:lncRNA from 1 species
CUAUUCUGAACCACUCUGCAAUGAAAAUCUGUGACUAGAGUUUACAAAUGCCCAUGAUUCAUUACCUAGGACAAAUAGUAUUUUCCAGCUCAUUUAUAAUUUUCUCUUUGGCCCCAGAGUUAUUUGGGAGAUAAUUGCUUAGUUUGGUUUGUUGUGUUUUGUUUUAUUUAGAAAUCUUGUUUUCUUUAGUAUACUUUUUAUUCAAGAUUUAGAUACUUACAAAAACAUAUCAAAUCGUACGGAUGAGCUCGCUGAGUUUUUACCAAGGAAACCCAGCCGUGUAACCGGAGCUGAGCUGUAAGAACAGAACACUGCCACCUUGUCAGGGACCCGUUUGCCUCGUUCCAGACAUGCCCUGCUCGCCGUGUCGUGACCUUCCACACCAGGGAUUAGUUAGGGUUGUUUCUGAGUUUUCUAUAAAGGGAACCCUAAAACGUAUGAUUGUGUGUCUGUGAGAUGCACCCAUGUGGCUGUAUGAGGUGGCGUGUAUCCACUUUCCCUGCUGCAAAGUUCUGGGGCAGGAAAAAUCACUCUCAUGUGUUGAUGCUUCUGCUGUGGAUGAACAGGUAGUGCCAUCCCCAAUGGCACUGCCGUGAGCGUUCGAAUCAUGACCUUCCAUCAGUAAUAUCCUGGCGAGCCUGGACCAAGGGCCCUUCAGAAAAAAAAGCUUUUAAAGAAAGAAAGAAAGAUGAAAGAAAGAAGAAAAGAAAGAAAGAAAGAAAGAUGAAAGAAAGAAGAAAAGAAAGAAAGAAAGGAAGAUAAAUACAUUCUUUGGGAUUUUUUUUCAUUAGCUGUGUCUGAUUUUUCAAUAUUAUGGUCAAAAUAUGCCUGCAUUAUUUCGGGGGUAUUUACUGAGGUGAUACGGUUAUUUACGGCUCUUUGGGGGGGUACCUGUUCCCUGGCCAUUUCACAGAAGAGAAAGUAUAUUUCCGACUUUGCCAUUCCUGCCCCCAUCCACAGGACCAAGUCUGGAUGGUGAGUUAUUUUAUGCUUCUAUAGGUGUACUUUUGUUUCUGGAUCUGUGAAUAAAACCCAGAAGAUGACACUAAUCUCAUGGCCCACUGAAAUGUACAUCAUGGAGCUGAAGCAACCAGCCUGAGGCCAGAGGUGGAGACAGUCUACACCUGCCACCUUAGCCCCAGGCCUCUGAGGCUAACAGGACCCCAGGGCACAUGGCGAGGAUUAGACAUGGCAAUGAACUCUGAGACUCUCAGGCUGACAUGGGGAAAGGGUGUCUAGUGAGCACUGGCCGCUCGUUCUCAUCUUUCAGGUGAUGCUCGAAGGAGCUGGAUGAAUGUAGCAUGGAUGGAUGCAUGGAUGCAUGGAUGAACGCAUGCAAAAAAUGAACCCAAAGGCCCCCACUCUGCAUCAAUGUUCCGUCCUCCUGUGGAAAGGACACUCAGGUUUGCAGACGAGACAUAUUGGCUUCAUGAGCCUCUGGGAACUCUGCGGAGGUGGCGUCCCCCGGGGGCAGCUGGACCCGCCCCCUCGCCCUCCUGCUGAGGUGACUGAGGCUUUAUCCAGCAGCCGUGGCCGCCAGCCCAGCCCAGCCUGUCCUGCCCUGCGGACCUGGCCCUCUGGGCUCCGGAGCGAAAGAACAAUGGUGGCCUUGUUGCCACUUCCCCGUCCCCUCCACGGUCCCAGUUACUCAUCAAGGAUGUUGGCCAGCCCAGCCCCGGAACACAGCGUGCUUGUCCCUUGAUUAAGCAGCAGCCACGCUCAGACAGUGGCCCUGCAGGAGGUGGCCGAUGAGUUCAUCUCUUGGCCAUUCAGACGACCCAACCGCCAUGGACUUGGGCAGGAGAUGGGUCAAUGGGAGGGCAGGCUGGGUGGGCCCCUCCAGAGGCCACCCCCGAAGGAGAACAGCAUCCUCUCCCCAGGGGGGCCCAGGCAUGUCGGAUGGGAAGGGGCGGGUCUGUGGCCUCCUUGUGCAAAGAUGGGUCUGAGAGGGAGAACUGACCAGCGGCCGCCUCGUAGGGCUGGUUAUAUCCGCAACUGAGACCGGGCUUCUUUAAAACAACUACCUUGCAGGAAAAAAAAAAAAAAGAAAGAAAUCAAAGCUUUGUCACCCUCCUGCUCAAUCCCAGAGUGCAUCCCUCUGCACUUAGAAUAAAACCACAAGAUUUCCAUGAUCUGACC